AACAGGGAGACACAACUGAUCGUGAUGUCUGAGCGCCGACCAAGCGAAAGCGAGGGAAGCACAUUUGUCUCAGGCCACGGUCCUGUCAUCUCGAAGGUCGAUCGGUACCUCAAGGUGAGCCAUCAAAGCCAAGGAAGAGUCUAGAGAGCUCGUAAGAGCAGGAAGGAGGAUUCUGAGGAUGUUGUGAUGGACUCGUUUUCAGUUCCUAAACUUUGUCUAGGUCACCCCACCAAGGGUUUCCAACGUUUUUCUGUGAUUCUGAACCUGCGAAGGUUUUGGGGAUCAGGGAGAGGAAGGAAACUUGUGUCGAAGUGAUUGAUCCUGGGCCAUUAGCUCAGGUGGUUAGAGCGCACCCCUGAUAAGGGUGAGGUCCCUGGUUCAAGUCCAGGAUGGCCCAUUCGUGUUUGGGGGUUUAGCUCAGUUGGUAGAGCGCCUGCUUUGCAAGCAGGAUGUCAGCGGUUCGAGUCCGCUAACCUCCAUCCAACCAGGUGAAGACCACCAACAGGAAGCGGCAGCAGGAUGCACUUUGAGUGGUGAGGUGACGAGAGACAUGUUCAGCUGAGGAUUCCAGCCUCUUUUCAUUCCCAAGUGAUCACUUGCCAGCCAAGGUAAGUAUGAAUCAACGGUGGUUGAAAGGAAGCUGGACUCGCUGAUUCUGGCGCGAGCCAGAGAUCAGUGACUCUAGCAAAGAACCUUGACAACUGCAUAGGUGAGUCUGGAUAAAGAAAGCAUCUCAUAGAUGCCUAGACGGACGUGAACGUUACUUGGUACUGCCAAGUGAUGCAAGCGACCGGCUGGGAGAUUCUUGAGUUUAGAGCCGAGAGCUUCCAGCGUCUUUUCGCUCCGCCGAGGAGGGAAGAGUUUGAUUCUGCCUUUCAAACCAUUGAAGCCCCAGAGAGAUCGGGAA
rnacentral:tRNA from 1 species